UACGAAGGGGGCUAGCGUUGUUCGGAUUUACUGGGCGUAAAGCGCACGUAGGCGGAUCUUUAAGUCAGGGGUGAAAUCCUGGAGCUCAACUCCAGAACUGCCUUUGAUACUGGGGAUCUCGAGUCCGGAAGAGGUGAGUGGAACUCCGAGUGUAGAGGUGAAAUUCGUAGAUAUUCGGAAGAACACCAGUGGCGAAGGCGGCUCACUGGUCCGGUACUGACGCUGAGGUGCGAAAGCGUGGGGAGCAAACAGG
rnacentral:rRNA from 1 species